GUUGUCAUAUCUGCUGUUUAUGCCAGCAGGGAGGGGCAGGCACAUCUCUCUGUUGACAAGACUCAGAGACCUGGCUCGGCCUCACUCCUGUCCUGGCCUCAAGUCUCCGAUUUUCAAACGAACCACUGGGAUUCUGCUUCUUCUUGUCAUUAGAAUUAUUGCUGAGACCACCGAAUUGUCAGACAAGAGUUCCCGUGGCUUGGAGCUCCCUUCUGUUCUUGGCAGUAUUACGUCAGAAACCUCUCCAGAAAAGCAUCCCAGAUCAAGCAGGGAAAAGAGGAUGUCUGUGUAACUCGGGAUUAGAAAAGAAACAGCUGCCUGCCAAAUGUCCCCUGGUGGGAAAUGUGGGACUGAGACAAAAGUGGUUCCGAGGGCUCUUACACAGCUGCUCUAGCUUCCCCUGAGGCCCGUCUCACCUCCUACCUGUGCACAUGACAGCAGCAAAGACCCAGCACUGCCCAUAGCGCACAGGCUGGCAACCUGUGGCAUGCCACUGCUUCAGGAUGGCCACACUGCCAGUCCAUUCUGCGGGGUUCACGCCGUCCAUAUAAUUCUCACUCCAGUUGCCCCUAUCAUUGGCAGCCUAUUGAAGAGAGAGAACCAACUGCC